GACGAACGCUGGCGGCGUGCUUUAGGCAUGCAAGUCGAACGCGAAAGCCCCUUCGGGGGUGAGUAGAGUGGCGAACGGGUGAGUAACACGUGGGUAACCUGCCCCUCGCAGGGGGAUAACCGGGGGAAACCCCGGCUAAUACCCCGUACGCUUGCUGGGGCGCAUGCUCCGGCAAGGAAAGGUAGCUUCGGCCAUCCGGCGAGGGAGGGGCCCGCGGCCCAUUAGCUAGUUGGUGGGGUAACGGCCCACCAAGGCGACGAUGGGUAGCUGGCCUGAGAGGGUGGUCAGCCACACUGGGACUGAGACACGGCCCAGACUCCUACGGGAGGCAGCAGCCAGGAAUCUUGCGCAAUGGGCGAAAGCCUGACGCAGCAACGCCGCGUGGGCGAUGAAGGCCUUCGGGUCGUAAAGCCCUGUUGUCGGGGACGAAGGGCGAAGGGUUAAGAGCCCCUAGCCUGACGGUACCCGACGAGGAAGCCCCGGCUAACUACGUG
rnacentral:rRNA from 1 species